ensembl:snoRNA U3 Small nucleolar RNA U3
AAGACUAUACUUUUAGGGAGCAUUUCUAUAGUUCCUUACUAGAGAAGUUUCUCUGAUCAUGUGGAAUACCUGAAACCACAAGGAAGAGUGGCUGGCUUUUGUUGUUGUUUUGCUGCAACUACCUAUUGCCAUUGAUGAUCGUUCUUCUCUCCUUUUUGGAGAGCAAGAACAAAGGAACGCAGUCUGUGUGGU